UUUUACUGGAGGAAGGUGGGGAUGACGUCAAAUCAUCAUGCCCCUUAUGACCUGGGCUACACACGUGCUACAAUGGACAGAACAAAGGGCUGCGAGACCGCAAGGUUUAGCCAAUCCCAUAAAUCUGUUCUCAGUUCGGAUCGCAGUCUGCAACUCGACUGCGUGAAGCUGGAAUCGCUAGUAAUCGCGGAUCAGCAUGCCGCGGUGAAUACGUUCCCGGGCCUUGUACACACCGCCCGUCACACCACGAGAGUUUGCAACACCCGAAGUCGGUGAGGUAACCUUUAUGGAGCCAGCCGCCGAAGGUGGGGCAGAUGAUUGGGGUGAAGUCGAAGCAAGU
rnacentral:rRNA from 1 species